rnacentral:piRNA from 1 species
AACAGGACUGGUCUCCUCAGCAAGGUGCA